rnacentral:misc_RNA from 1 species
AAGUCGUAACAUAGGCAAUGUUUCCCCAAACAGUCAGUGUCGGAAAGUGUCAUUGAUUGUGCAAGGAUAGCGCUUCUACGAUUCCUGUAGACCGUACACUCGGGCAGGAGCUUUGCCAAAGGGUCCUAAUGCCCCUAAUAACCCCACAGUUUAAUGUGAAGCUCAAUGUAAUACAUUGGGUUAAAAAACCGAACAACUGUUAACAAUGGAUAUCUUGGUUCUC